rnacentral:lncRNA from 1 species
UCUCCCCCUUCCCAACCUAGCCCCACCACCUCGUCGACAGCUAUUACGCCAAAACCAACCUGACCGUGUUUGAGAUCAUCAACCUCUUUGCCUCCAAGAAGCUCUCCGUGCAAGAUAUGGUCGUCCUCUCUGAGGACCAAACCAUCGGCUUCUUCGUCGAAGGUCUUCAAGCCUCAACACCAAAAAUAACAAGCCCGGAUGAAAAGGGUUCUCUCAUUUCACAACUUAGUUGUAUUUUUGAAACUUUGUAAUUGAUUUGUUGAAUUCAGAAAGGUUUCAGACAAUUUUUAUUUUGAUAAUGAUUUAUGACGAUAUGUAUUUUCGCAACUUGCAGAGAGGGUUGGGUUUGUUGAGUACACACCAGAUUUGAUGACAGACUGGAGGUCGAAGCCGCUUGUGGGUCUCUAGGCCAUGGUGGAGGGUGAACGAGAUGGGGGGAAGGGUUGCUGGAGGGGCAUGGUGGCUAGGGGGUUGAUUGAUGAAGGGGUGGCUGUAAAGAGAGAUAGAGAAUAGGGCUCUUGGGUGGGCUGGGCCGUGAAGGGGGGAUAUAGAAAGAGAGGUUUUUUUUUUUUUUUUUUAAAAAAAUAAUUGUUAUUUUAUUAUUGUUAUACUUUAUUUUUUGAUUUAAAAUACAUUUAAAAAUUUAAAAACAAAAAGUUAAUAAUAGUAGUUUCAAGGACGUGUCAAGUGUUAAGAUGGGUGUUGAGUAUAUACAUUUGAUUAAAGUGGUGAGCAAAAAUACUCGGACUGAAGUGGUUUGGGGUUUAGGGCGUGAGUUAUUACCCUCCUUUACCCUCCUUUACGUGACCCUCCAUUUUUAUGGGGUCGUGAGUUAUUAUCUCUUGGUCUCGAUUGGCG